ensembl:lncRNA
CGGGCCCGGACCACGCUAGCCGCUGCCUAGCCCGGGCUCCCGGCAGGAGGGCGCCCGGGCCCAGUACCCGAGUGCCCCGGUCUCUAGAGGGCUACGGAGCGCGUCUGCCUCCAGGACCGGGUAUUUGACUGAGCAGCCUGCGAAGUAGAGCGCGGAAGUUCUUCCAUAGAGCAAUUCUCUGCACUUCUUAGAAACAACUGUUGCUUAUACAACUGUUGCUUAUAGCAGAAGACAGCCUUUAUCUCUUCCAGUGAUCCACAGACUUGAUGAAAUCAGUUCGGGCCUCAGAGAGAAGAUGAAUUGUAAGCAAAAUUCAAAAAUCACGAUUCUGGGGAAAGAGACCCCCAAAUCCAGAGCCCUGUAGUACCAGCCCUGCUAGUUCAACUGAAGGCUGCAGCAUGCCCUGAUCUAAACGGGAAAACACAACAAGGAAAAUAUCAGAAGCACAAGCCAGAGCUGUUGUCCUCCUUACUCAUCCACUCAUCCAUCAAGAUAAGUCAGAGAUCAAAAGGAAUUCCCUCUCCAUCCUCCAAGAAAGACACUUGAGGAGACAAUUAGUAACAUGGUGAGAGGAGCUGGAUCUCAAGUCCCCAAAGCACAAAGUAAGAAGCAGCCAGCUCUGCCAAGAGACAGGAAAAAACCCUGACUGGACCUUCAGAGACAGAUCAGGAGGAUCAAGGAAACUCCAAUCGAGCACAUCACAUGGCACAUACAGUAUCUCUUCGUUUCCAGCAUCGUCCCCAUUAUCCACUACUUCCUCCCAACCGCGCUUUCUAAACUGCUGAGGAUGGAAGAGAAAGCAGACUGGACUUGCAGUAUACAUUUCACACUCUCAACCAACAAGCAACUUAGCCGCUGACACACUGCCAGCUGGUCCCAUCAAGUCAGGUGGCAUGGGUCACCCAACAAGCUGCCUGUUGGAAUAGCUGGCUGUUACAUAGCCUGUUAAGAACCAGGCGAACAAGACCACCAAAAUGUGGCAGCUGCUGUCCAGACAAGACACCUUCAGGCAGAGCUGGGUGCAGCCCGGUGACUCGUGCAGACAACAUCUGGGUUUUAGUUGGAAGACGGCCUCUGCGUUGGAUGAAGCUCUUCCCACAGACAAAAGUUGGAAACAAAGUCAGAAACAGAAAAUGAGAUUUAAAAAAAAACAAAACAAACCCAAGGCAAUCUUCUUUUGAAAGACUGCAGAUGCCCUGUGGAUGGCUACCUUCCUCUCUGUGAUGGACUGCACCCUUGAGCCAGCCCAAAGAAACACUUCUUUCCCUGAGUCACGUUCACCGGGCAUUUUUUCACAGCAAAGAGGAAAGUGACUAACACAAGUUGUUACCCCAUUUCUGCUAGAUCUGGGCUCCUUUCAUUAGUCAACAUGACAUGGAUUGAACACCCACUCUGCCCUACUACUGAUCUACAAUGAAGGUGCCGGAACAAGGAAGUUAUGGGAACAAGACAGAGUUGGUUCAAAGAGAUGAUCGACAACAGCGCAGACAUGAAUGAGCAGGAUAAUGCAUGAUGACAGCCCAGUGAAGACCAUAAAGCAGAGGAUCCGGGGGCCAAGGAGAAUAUGUCUGCCCUGUGGUCAGGGAGGUCAACUUUUGGGGAAGUAUUUAACAUUGUCCCUGAGGCCUGUGCUUUGAAUCUUCUUGGCCCAUUUCUUAAUAUCAUGGCUCUCAUGACUUGAUCUUAGUGCCUUUCCUCCGCCAUUUCAGCUGUAGGACCCCAGGAAGGCUUCUCAGAGCCUCCCACAGCAAGCCAUAUGCUAUCCUACUACUUAUAAACCCACACUCUAUAAUGGUCCUUCACUCUGGCACCUCAUUAUAGAAAGUAGGAUGAAGUUGGCACCGAGAAUGAUUCCUAUUUGCUUCAGCCACAGUAAUCUCUUCAUUUUCUAAGACUUCAGUUAUGUGUGUUCAAUCAUCAUGGGAAAAUAUUGAAAAGAAAAUUAUUAGAAAUAAGCAGUUUAUUAAUUUAAGUGACUUUUAUUAUAGCAUUUUGUUAUAUGGCUCUACUUUGUUAUUAGUUGUUGGUAAUCAUUUACUAUGCUUUAUAAAUUAUUUGUCAAUAUUAAUAUUUGUUUAUAGGAGAAAAGAGUGCAUAUAGGAUUUGAUGCUAUCUGGGUUUCAAGCAUUCACUGGGGGUCUGGGAAUGGAUCCUCUGAGAUAAAAGGGGCAUGUCUCUUUUAAUACGCAUAAGGUUUACACUGCAGUACUGCUAAGUUCACUUUACUAUUUGGGACUCUGCUGAAAUUAUCUCUUUGCAGAGGAAGAGUAUCUCACCACCCACAUCAGCUUCCUCCUUCACCCAGAACAGAUUCCCAGAAAAUAAAAGUUCCUAAGACUGUUCUAGAAAGUUCAGAGACACAGAUGAGAACUUUGCUCUUUAAUCAUGCUUCAGGAAUGCAGGUGUUAUCUGUACACACUAUUAUCAAUUGUCUUUGAGAUCGCUGGCUAGAGUAAGCUUGGUCAUGAUUUCUAAUCAUUAGAGAUAGGUUGGGAGUUUUCAAUUCAUUUAUUCUCUUUAUUGUAGCUAAUUGAAGAAUACGUUGCCUUUGGAUUCAAAUAGCCAUUACUG